GUGCCAGCAGCCGCGGUAAUACGUAGGUGGCAAGCGUUGUCCGGAAUUAUUGGGCGUAAAGCGCGCGCAGGCGGCCUCUUAAGUCUGAUGUGAAAGCCCCCGGCUCAACCGGGGAGGGCCAUUGGAAACUGGGAGGCUUGAGUAUAGGAGAGAAGAGUGGAAUUCCACGUGUAGCGGUGAAAUGCGUAGAGAUGUGGAGGAACACCAGUGGCGAAGGCGACUCUUUGGCCUAUAACUGACGCUGAGGCGCGAAAGCGUGGGGAGCAAACAGGAUUAGAUACCCUGGUAGUCC
rnacentral:rRNA from 1 species